ensembl:lncRNA
GAAGUAGGAUUCGUCGCGUCAUCACUGAACAACAAUAGCGAUUUUCCUUACUGAGGAGUUGGCAACGCUGACUGCAGCCUCCCACACUGCGCACGCGCAAACACAGAAAUGAAGGCGAAAAGACGGAGCAGCACAGUAGUGCAGCAUGUGAUCUGGACACAAGCGAUGAAAGCACAAGUUGUAGAACUUUUGCAAGCUCUUCCGAGCCUUUUCUUUUUUUUUUUUUACUUGAAAAGUUUUUUAUUUUCUCCACCAUGCAGGAGGACCCCUUAUUUUGAUGGCGAUUUUGGUGGGGUUUUCUUUUGUUUUGUUUUAGGAACUGGGCCUUUAGCCAAUUUCUUCUGCAUUUUCUUUAUAACCCCACCCCGUUUGGCCUCGCCCGGCGGGGGCUGUUUCCCCCAGACCCGGCGGUACUCUUCAUGUUUGACCGCCGGGUCUGUCCGGGUCUGGAGGAGUGGACCAGCUGGCCUCAUUGCUUUCUUACAUUCUUUUUUAUCGCUUUUCUCCAUUGUUUCCUCGAGCGCUUCGUGGACUGGCCGUUGAACACUUUGGAGUUCCAUAGUAGUGACCGUAGUACCGUGCGGAUCGAUACUGAGCCUUUUCGAUGUCUCCUCACAAAAUUAUCACGACCACAACAACCGUGAAAAUAUUUGAAUGGACAUUGCUGCUCAAUCACAGCUGCCUGAUCAAUAUUUUUCAUUAGCAAUUUAGCACAGUUGAUGGUGGUGGUGUGUGUGUCUGUGUGAGUGAAAGACAUAGAGGGAGAGAGAGGGACAGAUUUUGUGUUAUAACCUUAGGGAUGCUUAGUGUGAGCACUCAGGUCGCAUCAGAGCAUCGGGCCGUAUAGUGUGAGACCCUGCAUCGUGACCUACGAACUUCUAACCCCUGCGAGUCAAUCGUACAGUUUGAGCAGGCGCUGAAUAACGCCACUGAAAAAAUCGCACAGCGUAUGCCCAAGGCUCCGCCGAUGCUGAUGGAAAUGGACAAAACGUUAAGAAACGCAAAGCCAGAGGAACAGACUAACACACACUAAUGCUGUUUUUGACCUCUAUUUAUGCCCUCAGUAGGCGUGACCUUACGGCCGCACUUCAAAGCACGGCCGCACUUCAAAGCACUCAGCCUUUUGACGCGUCACCUAAUCUUCGUUCUAAUGGCGCAACUCCUCCCAGUCAUUCAUAAUCCGACCUCCGCGUUUGCACUCGCUGCCUACAAGAGCUCCCAAAUGUGAACAUCACUGAUGUUCAUCGGAUUUGCAGAGUGACGACAACCCCCGCCAGCAUGUUAGAUAAAGGAUUUAAGUUAUAUGCUGCAUCACACAACUACGAAGUGUCCAAAAAACACAGGUUGACAGGGGAGGUCGGUGUGAGAGCCCUGUGCUACAGGUCAAUGAGGAAGAGUGAGGCACCACCACACAGACUAAGUGUAGGCAGGAAGCUGUGUAAAGUUGUUAAUCCCUGUUCAGUGGGGUUCAGUUCAUUUAAGCAUUAGUUAAGUUCAUUCCUGAAGGCCCAUCAACUUGAAUGUUUUCCUUGUCCCCCUGCUUUAUCACACCUAAUUUGACUAGUCAGAUGUGUUUGGGUGAUCAGAAACAAAUUUACACCAAGUUAAUACGGCAAAUAUACACAAUCUAAGUUAUUACAGUUAUCAAGGAUGGUUAAAUUGUUUAAAUAGGGAGAGAAGGAAACACUAAGCAUUCAGGAGGGUAAGCCUGUAGGGUCAGUAACCAUAACACUGAACUAUGUUCCUGUUUGGCUCUUCCAUGAAGAUGAUGUUACAUUUUUAAUUUUCGUUCUUUCUUCUUAGAUUAAGCUUCUGGAUUCAUCGCUGGUGGUACUGACACAUAGCCAGUGCUCCUGUGUGGCAGGUGCUGUUAUGUGCAAUCACACAGUGGCACUGCUCUUCCAAACAGCACACUACUCACAACUCAGAGUGCCGGUUAUCCCCCUGUGCAUAGCUGCACCGAAUCUGAACAGCAAUGGCACAAGCCACGGACAGUGGUAAUUUAAAUAAGGUUAAAGUUUUUGAAUUAGACCAUGUUUACAUAUGAACAGCAACACCAUCCAUAGUAAAUGUGUCUUCUGUUAGGGUGUGAAGCCAGGACCUAUCAACUCUAUGAUCUUCACUAAGCCGGUACCAAAUAGGAUGGCCCAGACUGGAGCACGGAGUGGAUUCUACAGAGGCACUGUGGGUCCAUUACCAGAUCCCUGACCUGACAAGCCCCUUGUGGAAAGUGCCUUUGGGCUGGUGAAGGAGGGCAGUGUUCUGCCAUGUCAGCAGCCGGUUUUGACAACCCGGUACAUCACACUACACCGUGAUGCACCACCAACACCGCACUUGCCUCUGGAG